UACGUAGGGUGCAAGCGUUGUCCGGAAUUAUUGGGCGUAAAGAGCUUGUAGGCGGUUUGUCGCGUCUGCUGUGAAAUUUCGGGGCUCAACCCCGAACUUGCAGUGGGUACGGGCAGACUAGAGUGUGGUAGGGGAGACUGGAAGUUCCUGGUGUAGCGGUGAAAUGCGCAGAUAUCAGGAGGAACACCGAUGGCGAAGGCAGGUCUCUGGGCCACUACUGACGCUGAGAAGCGAAAGCAUGGGGAGCGAACAGG
rnacentral:rRNA from 1 species